rnacentral:rRNA from 1 species
ACUCAAAGGAAUUGACGGGGGCCCGCACAAGCGGUGGAGCAUGUGGUUCAAUUCGACGCAACGCGAAGAACCUUACCUGGGCUCGAAAUGUAGUGGACCGGGGUGGAAACAUCCCUUUCCGCAAGGACUGCUAUAUAGGUGCUGCAUGGCUGUCGUCAGCUCGUGUCGUGAGAUGUUGGGUUAAGUCCCGCAACGAGCGCAACCCUUAUCGUCUGUUGCUAACGCGUCAUGGCGAGAACUCGGACGAAACUGCGCCGGAUAACGGCGAGGAAGGUGGGGAUGACGUCAAGUCCUCAUGGCCUUUAUGUCCAGGGCUACACACGUGCUACAAUGGCCGGUACAAACCGUCGCAAAACUGCAAAGUUGAGCUAAUCGGAAAAAGCCGGCCUCAGUUCGGAUUGGAGUCUGCAACUCGACUCCAUGAAGCUGGAAUCGCUAGUAAUCGCGGAUCAGAACGCCGCGGUGAAUACGUUCCCGGGCCUUGUACACACCGCCCGU